rnacentral:rRNA from 1 species
UUAGUGCGGACGGGUGAGUAACGCGUGGGUAACCUGCCCCAUACCGGGGGAUACCACCUGGAAACAGGUGCUAAUACCGCAUAAGCGCACGGGAGCGCAUGCUCCUGUGUGAAAAACUCCGGUGGUAUGGGAUGGACCCGCGUCUGAUUAGCCAGUUGGCAGGGUAACGGACUACCAAAGCGACGAUCAGUAGCCGGCCUGAGAGGGUGGACGGCCACAUUGGGACUGAGACACGGCCCAAACUCCUACGGAAGGCAGCAG